UUUUUUUUUUGGUAUUUUUAGUAGAGAUAGCUGUGUUGACCAGGCUGCGAACUCCUGACCUCAAGUGAUCCGCCUGCUUCGGCCUCCGAAAGUGCUAGGAUUACAGGCAUGAGCCACUGUGCCUGGCCUGGGGUUUCUAAUUUUCUUAAUUCUUACAACUUCUUAUGAAGACUUUUACUAAUAUGGCUUUUUCCAGGCUUCCCAAACUGUAUUUCAGGUUAUAAUAAUUUUAUUGUUCUGUUUCUUGCAGAGUACCAAGUUCGAUCCAUAGCAAGUCAUGUUCGUCCUGACAGGCAGACUCUCUUAUUUAGUGCAACUUUUCGGAAGAAGAUUGAAAAGUUGGCCAGAGACAUCCUGAUCGACCCUAUUCGAGUGGUGCAGGGAGAUAUUGGAGAGGUAACCCUAAGCAGGGCUGGAUGGGACCUUAAUGGGUUUAUUUCUCAUAUUAUGGAACACAGAAUUAAUUUCUCACUAUUGAGAUAAAAAAAAAAGAU
rnacentral:lncRNA from 10 species